rfam:Ictidomys tridecemlineatus contig101771, whole genome shotgun sequence.
GGGGAUAUAGCUCAGUUGGUAGAGUGCUUGCCUCACAUGCACAAGCCUCUGGGUUCAAAUCCCCAGCAUCACCA